AUGUACAUGCCUACAACAUAGUGUUAAUGCAUCAGAUCCCAUUAGAACUCUGUAGUUAAGUGCGCUCAGGCUAGAGUAGUAUUGGGAUGGGUGAUCACCCGAGAAGUCCUACUAUUGUACAUG
rnacentral:rRNA from 1 species